GCCAUGGGUAGUGGCACAUGUCUGUUGUGCCAACUAUUUAGAAAGCUAGGCAGGAGGAUCACUUGAGUGCAAGAGUUCUGGGCUGUAUUGUGCUAUGCUGAUUGGGUGUCCACGCUAGGUUCAUCAUCAAUAUGAUGACCUCCUGGGAGCAGGAGAUCAUCAGGUUGCCUAUCGAGGGGCAAAUUGGCCCACGUUGGAAACUGAUCAAAACUCUUGUGUUGAUCAAUGGUAGGAUCACGCCUGUGAAUAGCCACCACACUCCAGCCUAAGCAACAUGGUGACACUCUGUCUUU
rfam:Otolemur garnettii contig143462, whole genome shotgun sequence.